rnacentral:rRNA from 1 species
UACAGAGGGUGCGAGCGUUAAUCGGAAUUACUGGGCGUAAAGCGCGCGUAGGCGGCUUUGCAAGUCGGGUGUGAAAUCCCCAAGCUUAACUUGGGAACUGCAUUCGAGACUGCAUUGCUAGAGUAUGGGAGAGGGAAGUGGAAUUUCCGGUGUAGCGGUGAAAUGCGUAGAUAUCGGGAAGAACACCUAUGGCGAAGGCAGCCCUCUGGGACGGUACUGACGCUGAGACGCGAAAGCGUGGGGAGCGAACAGG